rnacentral:rRNA from 2 species
UUAAGCGACUAAGCGUACACGGUGGAUGCCCUGGCAGUCAGAGGCGAUGAAGGACGUGCUAAUCUGCGAUAAGCGUCGGUAAGGUGAUAUGAACCGUUAUAACCGGCGAUUUCCGAAUGGGGAAACCCAGUGUGAUUCGUCACACUAUCAUUAACUGAAUCCAUAGGUUAAUGAGGCGAACCGGGGGAACUGAAACAUCUAAGUACCCCGAGGAAAAGAAAUCAACCGAGAUUCCCCCAGUAGCGGCGAGCGAACGGGGAGCAGCCCAGAGCCUGAAUCAGUAUGUGUGUUAGUGGAAGCGUCUGGAAAGGCGCGCGAUACAGGGUGACAGCCCCGUACACAAAAAUGCACAUGCUGUGAGCUCGAUGAGUAGGGCGGGACACGUGGUAUCCUGUCUGAAUAUGGGGGGACCAUCCUCCAAGGCUAAAUACUCCUGACUGACCGAUAGUGAACCAGUACCGUGAGGGAAAGGCGAAAAGAACCCCGGCGAGGGGAGUGAAAAAGAACCUGAAACCGUGUACGUACAAGCAGUGGGAGCACAGAGCAAUCUGUGUGACUGCGUACCUUUUGUAUAAUGGGUCAGCGACUUAUAUUCUGUAGCAAGGUUAACCGAAUAGGGGAGCCGAAGGGAAACCGAGUCUUAACUGGGCGUUAAGUUGCAGGGUAUAGACCCGAAACCCGGUGAUCUAGCCAUGGGCAGGUUGAAGGUUGGGUAACACUAACUGGAGGACCGAACCGACUAAUGUUGAAAAAUUAGCGGAUGACUUGUGGCUGGGGGUGAAAGGCCAAUCAAACCGGGAGAUAGCUGGUUCUCCCCGAAAGCUAUUUAGGUAGCGCCUCGUGAAUUCAUCUCCGGGGGUAGAGCACUGUUUCGGCAAGGGGGUCAUCCCGACUUACCAACCCGAUGCAAACUGCGAAUACCGGAGAAUGUUAUCACGGGAGACACACGGCGGGUGCUAACGUCCGUCGUGAAGAGGGAAACAACCCAGACCGCCAGCUAAGGUCCCAAAGUCAUGGUUAAGUGGGAAACGAUGUGGGAAGGCCCAGACAGCCAGGAUGUUGGCUUAGAAGCAGCCAUCAUUUAAAGAAAGCGUAAUAGCUCACUGGUCGAGUCGGCCUGCGCGGAAGAUGUAACGGGGCUAAACCAUGCACCGAAGCUGCGGCAGCGACGCUGAUGCGUUGUUGGGUAGGGGAGCGUUCUGUAAGCCUGUGAAGGUGUGCUGUGAGGCAUGCUGGAGGUAUCAGAAGUGCGAAUGCUGACAUAAGUAACGAUAAAGCGGGUGAAAAGCCCGCUCGCCGGAAGACCAAGGGUUCCUGUCCAACGUUAAUCGGGGCAGGGUGAGUCGACCCCUAAGGCGAGGCCGAAAGGCGUAGUCGAUGGGAAACAGGUUAAUAUUCCUGUACUUGGUGUUACUGCGAAGGGGGGACGGAGAAGGCUAUGUUGGCCGGGCGACGGUUGUCCCGGUUUAAGCGUGUAGGCUGGUUUUCCAGGCAAAUCCGGAAAACUAAGGCUGAGGCGUGAUGACGAGGCACUACGGUGCUGAAGCAACAAAUGCCCUGCUUCCAGGAAAAGCCUCUAAGCAUCAGGUAACAUCAAAUCGUACCCCAAACCGACACAGGUGGUCAGGUAGAGAAUACCAAGGCGCUUGAGAGAACUCGGGUGAAGGAACUAGGCAAAAUGGUGCCGUAACUUCGGGAGAAGGCACGCUGAUAUGUAGGUGAAGUCCCUCGCGGAUGGAGCUGAAAUCAGUCGAAGAUACCAGCUGGCUGCAACUGUUUAUUAAAAACACAGCACUGUGCAAACACGAAAGUGGACGUAUACGGUGUGACGCCUGCCCGGUGCCGGAAGGUUAAUUGAUGGGGUCAGCGCAAGCGAAGCUCUUGAUCGAAGCCCCGGUAAACGGCGGCCGUAACUAUAACGGUCCUAAGGUAGCGAAAUUCCUUGUCGGGUAAGUUCCGACCUGCACGAAUGGCGUAAUGAUGGCCAGGCUGUCUCCACCCGAGACUCAGUGAAAUUGAACUCGCUGUGAAGAUGCAGUGUACCCGCGGCAAGACGGAAAGACCCCGUGAACCUUUACUAUAGCUUGACACUGAACAUUGAGCCUUGAUGUGUAGGAUAGGUGGGAGGCUUUGAAGUGUGGACGCCAGUCUGCAUGGAGCCGACCUUGAAAUACCACCCUUUAAUGUUUGAUGUUCUAACGUUGACCCGUAAUCCGGGUUGCGGACAGUGUCUGGUGGGUAGUUUGACUGGGGCGGUCUCCUCCUAAAGAGUAACGGAGGAGCACGAAGGUUGGCUAAUCCUGGUCGGACAUCAGGAGGUUAGUGCAAUGGCAUAAGCCAGCUUGACUGCGAGCGUGACGGCGCGAGCAGGUGCGAAAGCAGGUCAUAGUGAUCCGGUGGUUCUGAAUGGAAGGGCCAUCGCUCAACGGAUAAAAGGUACUCCGGGGAUAACAGGCUGAUACCGCCCAAGAGUUCAUAUCGACGGCGGUGUUUGGCACCUCGAUGUCGGCUCAUCACAUCCUGGGGCUGAAGUAGGUCCCAAGGGUAUGGCUGUUCGCCAUUUAAAGUGGUACGCGAGCUGGGUUUAGAACGUCGUGAGACAGUUCGGUCCCUAUCUGCCGUGGGCGCUGGAGAACUGAGGGGGGCUGCUCCUAGUACGAGAGGACCGGAGUGGACGCAUCACUGGUGUUCGGGUUGUCAUGCCAAUGGCACUGCCCGGUAGCUAAAUGCGGAAGAGAUAAGUGCUGAAAGCAUCUAAGCACGAAACUUGCCCCGAGAUGAGUUCUCCCUGACUCCUUGAGAGUCCUGAAGGAACGUUGAAGACGACGACGUUGAUAGGCCGGAUGUGUAAGCGCAGCGAUGCGUUGAGCUAACCGGUACUAAUGAACCGUGAGGCUUAACCUU